AAAGAAUGCCCUUUGAGAUCUGUGGAUUAAAUGAAAUGUGUCCCAAAGCCCUGGAAGAGGAGACGGGAAUCCUGCAGGAGCCGUGACAUCAAUGUCCCUUACAGCCCCGGGCAGCGGGGACUCUAACACUUGCUAACGCCCUGUACAGAGACGGCAUUGGCAGAUCCCCGGCGAUCGAUUUUACGAACUCUGGAAGCGUUGAUUUCAAUGUUUAUUUUUGUUUCGGAUGUGGAGCCAGAAAGAACAGCAGUGAUGCUGAGUUGCUGGAGGAACACAGCAGAUGGACCCCCUGUUGGGAACUUUCCUUCCGUUCCGAGCACCUGGACUGCACUGGAGUGAGAGGCUAUCAGUCACAUGGACCCCUUUUCUCCAGUGCAGGCAAGUGAGUGGCCUGGGCUGGCCAAUCAGAACACCCACCUCCCUUGCCCCAGUGACUGGUCCAGGAGAGGUCAUGUGACCUAAACUGACUCCGGACCUUCUCUGUGGCCCUGAUGUCAGCCCUGAGGAAGAGAGGUCUUCUCUUCUUUGUGACUGUGAGCAUUUUGUCUUUGGUUUCUUAGCAAAUGUGUGUGUUGUGAGUCGAAGAGCGUCCCCCGCCCCCCAGCUUCAGGUGCACCCACAACCUCAGCAUGCAACCUUAAUUGGAAAUAGGGUCUUUGCAGGUAACAUUGGUUAAAAAUCUU